GGGCGGGGCAGUCCAGCCAGUUGGGCCCCAUGGGCUGGGGGGCGUCCGGCUCGGUCUUGAUGCUGUUCUUGGGGAAGCGCCAGUAGUGGGCGCCCUUGAAGAAGUAGGUGUCACCUGGAGGAGCAGAGCUUGAGUCCCGGUCCCUCCCCGCCCCGCCGCUCCCUGAUGCCCAAGGACCCCCAUCCCCGCAGGGUGGCCUCCAUGUCCCCAUUCCCCACAUCCCUCUCCCCACCCCCAGGCCCAGUAACCCGCAGGUCACCGCGCUCCCCACCUGCGUUGCUGACGGUGACAUCGUCAGGGGAGGGGGGCGCGCCUUCCCAGAGGCUCAGGUCGCGAGGGUAGCCGGGGUCCGGGCGCGCCGCCGCCUCGUCGUAGCGCCAGUACUGCCGGCCGCGGACCAGCUCAGGCGCUCAGGACUGCCAGGACCCAGAGGAUUCACACGCCAGCCCCGGCUGAAGCCCAGCUCCUCAUCAACCGGUGAGCCGCCUGCCAGCUCCUGCUCCAGCUGCUGAGAGGCCUGAAGAGACCAAGACAGAGACACAGCCCCGCAGCACCACAGGGAGGCCCCAGUUACCCCAUGCGGAUGAGUUUCAUGGCCAUCUCUAACUAAGGACAGGACAUCGAUGUCAUCUGUAACUUCCGGUGCACUGGGGCACACAGCUGCAUCUCCCCAUGCUCACCUCCUGCCUCUUGCUCUGCCCAGUGUGAGGACUCAGCCUGGAUCACCUCCUCCAGGACAAGAACAACCUACCAUCAUCUGUCCGUCCAAUCUACCCACCCAUCCAUCUCUGCCUCUGGCCAUGCAUCCGUCCGUCCAUCCAUCCCCGCCUCUGUGCAUGCAUCUGUCCAUCCAUCCCCGCCUCUGUGCAUGCAUCUGUGCAUCCAUCCAUCCCUGCCUCUGUGCAUGCAUCUGUCCAUCCAUCCCCG
rnacentral:lncRNA from 10 species